GAUUAUGGCUCAGGAUGAACGCUGGCGGCGUGCCUAACACAUGCAAGUCGAGCGAUUCUCUUCGGAGAAGAGCGGCGGACGGGUGAGUAACGCGUGGGUAACCUGCCUCAUACACAUGGAUAACAUACCGAAAGGUAUGCUAAUACUGGAUAAUAUAAGAGAUUCACAUGGAUUUCUUAUCAAAGCUCCGGCGGUAUGAGAUGGACCCGCGUCUGAUUAGCUAGUUGGCAAGGUAACGGCUUACCAAGGCGACGAUCAGUAGCCGACCUGAGAGGGUGAUCGGCCACAUUGGAACUGAGACACGGUCCAAACUCCUACGGGAGGCAGCAGUGGGGAAUAUUGCACAAUGGGCGAAAGCCUGAUGCCAGCAACGCCGCGUGAGCGAUGAAGGCCUUCGGGUCGUAAAACUCUGUCCUCAAGGAAGAUAAUGACGGUACUUGAGGAGGAAGCCCCGGCUAACUACGUGCCAGCAGCGGC
rnacentral:rRNA from 1 species